GGCCAUCUUCUGGUGGUCAGGCGCGGUGGCAACGCGGCCCGACGCGGCAGGCGCGGCGGAGGCCGGGAAGGCAGCGGCAGUGGGCACAUCGGGAGGGCAGAGGUAACAUGAGGAGGAAAAAUGAAAUUUGAAAAAUUACAGGGAACCAAUUCAGUGAACGGGCUAGAGAAAGAGACCAUUUUUUGCUACUCCGCUCUCCUAUUCAUAAAACUUCUUUUAUAGUCCAAUUACCCCUUCUCCGUCGCGGCCCAUCCACACGAGUCAGCCGUCCACCGCAUCAGUUAUAUCUUGAAAUCAAGGUUUUGUCAUCCAGAGAUCAGAAGAAAUCAGCGGAAAUCCCCUUAAAAAAUGAAAUCAGCGGUAACUGUGAAAUCAAGUGUUUGGUCAAGUGGAUUAGAAUUUUACCCCUUCAAUCUGGGUACUCCUUAAAUUUCAUUGUGGUACAUUAGAUGAACUAGCAAAAGAACCCGUGCGUUGCUACGGACAACGGAAAAUUGUAUCAAAACGUCAAAUUAAAUAUUGUUAUGUUUCAUGAUCACAUAUGUAUAUAGUGAUUAUGAUAUGUUUUUUUUGUGAGCUAUACUCUGGUAUUUUUCUUUUUUUUACAUGUCUUGUUUUUAUAUUUCUCCUUGCACUGCUCUCCUACUACUCCUACUUCGUAUUUUCUUUCUCAAUUCUCUUCUCCCAAUUUCUCGCUCUCCGUUUGACUAUCCUCUCCAUCCACCAUGAGUGCAAACUCUCCUCUCCCCGUGCCGAUUCAUCCCACCACCGAACAUCACGCCGCCAUGCAUAGCCGCCCGCUUGUGCGCACCGCCUAGAUUCCCGCCGUCCGUCCCCUCCCGCGCGUCGUCUGCUCUCACUUGCCGCCUGGUACGCUUGUGCGCUGCCCACCUGCGCCCUCUCGCAGCCUUGUCCGCCUGUUCGCGUCCGGCCACUGGUCGCCGCGCGCCACUGCCGUCCGGAGGGCCCCUGAUGGCUCGCACCGACGCGGUCACUGCUGCCUUGUGCGAGGCCACCGCCAUCCCGGCCUCAGUCUCAUCCCAUCGCCGUC
rnacentral:lncRNA from 1 species